AAGACAGUCCUUUUAUUUUACCCCAACAGCCUUUGGCCUUAGCUCUUUUUUUCUUCUAUCUCUUGACCCUUUGUGUGGGUAUUUCAGUGUUGAUCACUAGUGUUGAUUUAGUUUGGUUUAUAUCCAAAGUGUGCAAAAUUGAGCCUCCAAGUGAAGUUUUAUGAAAUGAACUUUACUGUUUAAAAAUAGGUUCAAAGAGUAUGAAUGAGAUUUUUACUGUUAAAAUAUAGGAAACAUUUCAAUACUUGCCAUUUAUUUAUUUGCAUAUAAUAGAAUACAUACUGAUUUUGUAAAAAGUGAUUAUCUUAAUGUAUGCCAUUUGGGAUUACCUGUGGCUCUGCCAUCUUCCAUUAUCAGAGAUAAGUGAAAAUUGGCUAUACUUUUUUUUUUGUUUGUUUUGUUUUUUGAGAUGGAGUCUUGCUUUGUUGCCUAGGCUGUAGUGCAGUGGUGCAAACUCAGUUCACUGGAACCUCUGCUUCCAAGCAAUUCCCCUGCCUCAGCCACCUGAGUAGCUGGGAUUACAGGUGUACGUCAUCAAGGCCAGCUAAUUUUUGUAUUUUUAGUAGAGAUGGGGUUUCACCAUGUUGGCCAGGCUGAUCUCAAACUCUUGACCUCAAGUGAUCUACCCACCUCAGACUCCCAAAGUGCUGGGAUUACAAGUGUGAGCUACUGCACCCGGCCUUGGCUACACUUUACAGUUUUCUUUCACAGCUGGUAUUUCAGUUUUGUGGAACCUUAGAACUGGGUGGUCAUUUGUGCUUCUCUUAAGCGUCUUCUUUCUUUGGAGAUGAAAUUUGCAUAAUAUAAAAUUAGCCAUUUAAAAGCAAACAAUUCAGUGACUGUUGGUACAUUCACAAUGUUGAGCAACUACCUCUAGUUUCAAAAAGUUUUUAUCACCCCUAAAGGAAACCCAUACCCAUUAAGCAGUUUUGCUUCAGCCUCCCCACCCCUCCUCCUCUGACAACCACCAGUCUGCAUUCUGUCUCAAUGGAUCUGCCUAUCGUGGACAUUUCAUAUAAAUGGAAUCAUACAAUGUGUGACCUUUUGUCUCUGAUUUCUUUCACUUAACGUAAUGUUUUCGAGUUUCAUUUACAUUGUAGAAUGUGUCAGAACUGUAUUCCUUUUUAUGAUUGGAUAAUACUUCAUUGUAUGUAUAUACCCCAGUUUAUCCGUUUAUCACUCGAUGGACAUUUGAGUUGUUUUCAUCUUUAGGUUAUUGUCAGUAUUGCUGCUGUGAACAUGUAUGUACAUGUAUUUGUUUGAAUACCAGUUUUUCAGUUCUUUUGGGUAUACACCUAGGAGCAGAAUUACUGGGUUAUAUAGUAACCCUAUGUUUAACUUUUUGAGGAACUGCCAAACUGUUUUUCAUAGUAACUGAAUCAUUUUACAUUCCCAGUGUAUGAAGGUUUCACUUUCUUUGCAUUUUCUCUAACAUCUAAGUGUUUUCUUGUCAGUAAGAUGAGCAGGAUUAUCUUACAUAUAAUACAUAAUUGAGGAAAUACAUAAAAUAUUUUGUGAACAAAGAGCUGAUAAACAGGUGCUACUGUCUGGGAUGAUAUGGUUCAGACCCUCAUUUUUCAGUUGUGGCAAUAGGUGUCAGAGGCUGUGACUUACCUAAGCUGUAAGAAACAAAAUAAGCAAUAAAACCUAAGAUGUUUUAUUGCCACUUAGAGGUUACCUCAAAGCUCCUCCAGGAUGGACAUCAUAAUUUUGUGAGAAGCAGUUACUGGUACAGAAAAUAAAAACAGCCAUUAAUGAGACAUACAGGAGCACACUGUCUUUUAGAGUAAGGUACUAUUUCCUGUGACCUUUAGUAUACUCAGUAGUAAGGAAUAAUUAGCCCUAGAUGGACCUGCAAAUCAUAAAGGGCAAAUCAUUAAAAAAGAUUUUUAAAAUCUUUUUUACUACCUGAUUUUAUGAUUUACUAUAAAGCUACAGUAAUCAGAAUAGCCUGGUAUUGGCAUAGGGUUGGACAGAUUGAUCAGUGGGAGAGAAUAGUAUAUCCAUACAUAAAUGGUCAUCUGAUUUUUGACAAAGGUGCAAAGGUAAUUCAAAGGAGAAAGGAUAGUCUUUUCAACCAGAGGUACUAUAAAAACAACUGGAUAUUCAUAUACAAAAAAACAAAAAGUUUUGAUUCAUACGUUGCACUAUGAACAAAAAUUAACUCAAACUGGCUGGGCAUGGUGGCUCAUGCCUGUAAUCCCAGCAUUUUGGGAGGCUGAGGUAGGAGGAGCACUAGGAGUUCGAGACCAGUCUGGGCAACGUAGUGACAUUUCGUCUCUAUUACUUAAAAAAAAUAUAGAAAACCUAAAGUAUAAAACUUCUAGAAGAAAAUAGGAGAAUAUCUUUGUGACCUUGGGAUAGAUUUCUUAGAUAUUACACUAUAGAAGAACAAACUGAUAUGUUGAACUUCAAAAUUUAAAACUUCUGUUCUUUAGAAAACACUGUUAAAAGAACGAGGUGACAAAUCACAGACUGAGAGGAAAUGUUUACAAAGCAUAUAUUUGAUGAAAGAUUUAUAUUUAGAUUACAUAAAGAACUCUCAGAACUCAGUAAGAGCCUUUCCUUUUGGUGGUGCACAGCAGCAAUAUGGUGAAAAUUUCUAAGAAGAGGAAGUUUGAUAGCAUCUUCAGAAAUAAACUGAGCGAGUACUUGCAGAAGGUGACUACUCUGGAGCUGAGGUCCAAGUUACACCAGCCGGAAUAGAAAUCACUACCUUAGCAUCCAGGAAGCAGAAUGUUCUUGGUGAAAAUAACCACUUUAUCUGUGAAUUGGCUGAGGUAGUUCAGAAGAGGUUUGGCUUCCCUGAGGUCAGGUAAAGCUUUAUGCUGAAAAGGUGGCCUGAAAGAAUUCUCUAUGCCAUUGCCCAGACAGAGUCUGUGCUAUAAACUAUUAUUAGGUUUUCUGUGGGGAGGGCCUUCAGUAGUGUGCUGCGCUAUGCAGAGUGGGGCAAGGGCUACGAGGUCAUGGUGUCAGGGAAACUGAAGGACAGAGAACUAAAUCCAUGAACUUUGAGUAUGAUCUGAUGAUCCACAGCAGGGACCCUAUUAGCUACUAUGUUGAUACCAUCAUCCAUGUGCUUCUCAGACAGGGUGGGCUGGGCAUCAGAGUGAAGAUCAUGUGUCCUGGGACCAAGUGAUAAGAUUGGUCUUAAGAAUCCCCUGCCUGAUCAUGUGAGCACUCUGGACCCUAAAGAUGAGAUACUAUUCACCAUGUCUAUUUCAGGACAGAUCGUUAGGAAGCCAUGCUCUACCCAACCCCAACUGAAUAAUAGGGUCUCCUUGGCAGCUGGUUCUGGAGUCUGGAUGUUGCCUUGUAAAACAUUUAAUAAAAUAUUUUAAGAAGACAAAAUACAACAACAAAAACCCUUACUAAUACAACAAACAACCAAAUUAAAAAUUGGCCAAAAUAUUUGAACAGACAUUUUAUCAAAGAUGAUUAUACAGAUGACAAAUAAGCACAUGAAAAAUACUCAAUAUCAUUAAUUAUUAGGGAAAUGCAAUUAAAACCACAAUAAGAUACCACUACAAAUCUAUUGGAAUGGCUGAAAUAUAAAAGACUGGCCAUACCAAAUGUUUGUGAGGAUGUGGAGGAACUGUUGAUGGGAAUGUUAAAUGGAACCACAAUUUUGGAAAACAGCUUGGCUGUUCCUUAAAAAGCUAAGCAUACACCUACAUAUGACCCAGUAAUUCCACUCCUAGAAGACAAGAGAACAUAAAUUGAUACAAAUAUCUUGUACAUUAAUGUUUAUAGCAGCUGUAUUUAUAAUAUCCAGAAGCUGGAAACAACCCAGUGUCUAUUAAUAGGUAACUAGAAUAAUUGGGGUAUAUCCAUGCACUGGACUACUACUCAGCAAUAGAAAUGAAUGAACAAUUGAUAGAUUUUUCUGGGUGAGGGGAGAGGGAAGCCAGCCAGAACACGUGGACUGGGCCGGAAACAUGGGGCCCUUCUGCUUGGCACCUAGCCCCUCCCUCUCCCCUCACCUGGAAAAGAUCCUCCCCAUCUCCACAGAAACCUGACUGUCCCCCUACAGGGCUUGGGAGGAAGUGGGCUUUGUGUACAGUCCCUGUUGACUCCAGUGCCCCCUGCUGGCACCAGACGUGGGAUCUCUGUAAGGCUUCAGGGCACAGCUGCCCAAUGGCCAGAAGCAGGGCCCGCCAUGCUUUGGCACAGCUCUGGGACACCCCACCUGUUCCCCAGGUGUGACCUAUCAACAGCAACUUUGCGGUGUGGUGCACUAUUUGUGGAAAAACUCCCUGUUUUCUCUCUGGAAAUGGGUCGAAGACCAAAGAAAAUGAUGUGCCCCACUUGGUCACCCCGAGCCGCCUGCCCUGGAACACUGGCCACAGUUGAGGAGGUGUGUCUGUAUGCUUUGAACCGCGGUGGCGGUGCUUGUGGUUGGAGCUCCUCAGGGUGGGUGCGCAUUCGCAGUGCGGUGACUGAGACCUAGAAAUCCAAGUGUCGGAGGUCCUGAGGCCAGCCAGAAUCGCUUCAAAAUGGAACGAAGGUAUUUGCGGACUUGCAUUCAGAGCUGAUUCAUCAGCAUGAGCCUGUGGACGAGCCCACGGAGACUCGUGGACCUGGCGGGGCAGAGAGCCUGCUGAAGAAUGAGGCCCUGGCCAUCGCUGUCUUGGAGUUGCUCCCCAAAAUUUUUUCCCGCCACUCUUCAGGGCAGACUUUGACGGGAAACACAACCAGACUCUGAAGGCAAUGGUGCAGGCCUGGCCCUUCACCUGCCUCCCUCUGGGAGUGCUGAUGAAGGGACAGCAGCUUCACGUGGAAACCUUCAAAGCUGUGCUUGAAGGAGUUGAUGUGCUGCUUGCCCAGGAGGUUCACCCCAGGAGGUGGACACUCAAAGUGCUGGAUGUAGGAAAGCAUUCUCAUCAAGACUUCUGGACCAUAUGGUCUGGAAAAAGGGUCAGUCUGCUCAUUUCCAGAGCCAGAAGCAGCUCAGCCCAUGAGAAAGAAGCGAAAAUAGAUGGUUUGAGCACAGAAGCAGAGCAGCCCUUUACUCCAAAAGAUGUUCUCGUAGACCUGUCCCUCAAGGAAGGUGCCUAUGAUGAAUUGUUCACCCACCUGAUUGAGAUAGUGAGGCGAAAGAAAGAUGUACUACACCUGUGCUGUAAGAAGCUGAAGAUUUUUUGCCAUGCCUGUGCAGAAUAUCAAGAUGAUCCUGAAAAUGGUGCAGCUGGACUCUAUUGAAGAUUUGGAAGUGACUUGCACCUGGAAACUAACCUCCUUGGUGAAAUUUUCUCCUCACCUGAGCCAGAUAAGUAAUCUAUGUAGACUACUCCUCGCUCACAUCCAUCCAUCUUCCUUCAUUUCCCCAGAGAAGGAGGAGCAGUAUAUCGCCCAGUUCACCUCUCAGUUCCUCAGUCUCCACUGCCUCCAGGAGCUCUACAUGGACUCUUUAUUUUUCCUCUGAGGCCGCCUGGAUCAGUUGCUCAGAUGCAUGAUGAACCCCUUGGAAACCCUUUCGAUAACUAACUGCUGGCUUUCAGAAGAAGAUGUGACACAUCUGUCCUGGAGCCCCAGCAUCAGUCAGCUGAGUGUCUUGAGUCUAAGUGGGGUCAUGCUGACCGAGAUAAAUCCCGAGCUCCUCCAAGCUCUGCUAGAGAGAACCUCCGCCACCCUCCAGGACCUGGACUUAGAUGAGUGUGGGAUCAUGGAUACUCAGCUCCUUAUUCUUCUGCCUUCCCUGAGCCACUGCUCCCAGCUUACCACCUUCAGCUUCUGCAGGAAUCCCAUCUCCAUGUCUGUCCUGGAGAACCUCGUGCACCACAUCAUCGGAUUGAAUAAUCUGAGCCACUUGCUGUAUCCUGUCCGCAUGGAGAGUUAGGAGGACGUCAAUGGCACCCUCGACCUGGGGAGACUUGCCUAUCUGCACACCAGGCUAGGGAGUUGCUGUGUGAAUUGGGGUGGCCUGGCAUGGUCUGGCUCAGUGCCAACUCCUGUCCUCACUGUGGGGACAGAACCUUCUAUGACCCAGAUCCCAUCCUGUGCCCCUGUUUCACGCCUGCCUAGCUGGGUGCACAUGUCAAAUGCUUCAUUCUGCAUAAUUAGACACUGAAGCCCAGGAUUCAAGUGCAUCUUGAAGCAACACAGCAGCCACAGUUUGAGAAAAAUAUUCAGUGUGAGUGAGGGAAAAAAGGGGAAGUUGGGGGUGGGCAGAUGUUGACUUGAGGAGUUGAUGGAAUCUUUGGGGAGAUGCAUUCUAUAGAGUUAGAAAUAGAAUCUGAAUUUCUAAAGGGGGAUUCUGGCUUGGAAAGUACAUGUGGGAGGUAAUCCCUGUGUGGACUGUUAUAAAAAAAAAACUGUUGGAAAUAAAGAGAAGCAAUAUGAAAAAAAAAACAAUUGAUACAACUAAAAGUGUAGUUAAAUCUGAAAAUAAUUAUGCUGAGUGAAAGAAACCAGAACAAAAAAAGGUACAUAUUAUAUGAUUUUAUUUAUACAAACUCUAAAAAUGCAAGCUAAUCUAUAGUGAUAGCAGAUCAGCAGUUGCUUAGGGAGAGGAGCAAAAAGGUGGGAGGAAGGAUUGCAAAGGUGCAUGAAGAGAUUCUGGAGGUGAUAGAUAUGUCCACUGUCGAUUCUGGUGAUAGUUCACAGGUGCAUACUUAUGUCAGAAUUGACCAAUUGUAUACUUGAAAUAUUGGGCCCUUUACUGUAUGAUGAUUAUGUUUCUGAGCAGCUGCACAGAACUGUGCAGAGCCUAGAGCAUCACUGUGAGGCUGGGUUAGGGAUUUAAAAAUGUGCCCAUGUUCUUUCAGUCUCUGGCAGUGAUAAACAGGUAUACACAAUGUGUUUGGGUUUUAGGGCAUGAAAAAACUAUGCUAAAAUGAAAUACUGUUUUAAGACUUGAAAAAUACCACUAUUUUUUGUGGAGUAUUAUGCUACAUCUGAAAUAUUCUGUUCCUGUAUAUAAAGAAUAUAAAAAAGCAAGGCUUCCUGUAGUGUAUCACAUUGUCAAAUAGGUCAAGCUUCAGGGCAAAUGCUUUGAAAUAGGUACAGUAAUUCCUGGCUGAUUGUUUUUGUUUUCCAAAUGAAU